rnacentral:rRNA from 1 species
CAGUCGCCACGGUAAUACGAAGGGUGCAAGCGUUAAUCGGAAUUACUGGGCGUAAAGCGUGCGUAGGCGGUGAGUUAAGUCUGUUGUGAAAUCCCCGGGCUCAACCUGGGAAUUGUAGUGGAUACUGGGUCACUAGAGUGUGGUAGAGGAUAGUGGAAUUUCCGGUGUAGCAGUGAAAUGCGUAGAGAUCGGAAGGAACAUCUGUGGCGAAGGCGACUAUCUGGGCCAACACUGACACUGAGGCACGAAAGCGUGGGGAGCAAACAGGAUUAGAUACCCGAGUAGUCCCUGUCUCUUAUAC